AUGGCUGGAAGUCUGACCACAGAUGAAAGCAGUGGGGAGAAGGGAAAGUGGAGUAGGGGGCAAAGGUGGGGGUUGGGAACGUACAAGCCGCAGGUCACAGAGUGCCAGAAGCCCAGGACCCAUUCGGGAAAUAAAAGCAGGAACACCCAGGACACAGGCCUGCAUCCCAGGCCAGCUCUGCACUCAGCAAACAAAGGGAUAGCGCUGAAAGAUUCUGAUGGAGGAAAGGACAAGAUCAGCGGUUACUUGGGAAAGAUGAGGCAGAGGGGAAGAGCUGCUCAGGGGAGGCAGACCGAGGCAGGGAGAUGCUGAGGCGGCAUCUGAUGACGAGAAGGGGCAAGGUCAGCAGGGAGGGAGCAAGGGCACCAUUUCCUCUGACUUGGCUACAAGCUACCUCGAUUUACAUUUUGCAAACGGCUUUGCAAGUCACGCUUGCAACAUUCUUUACAUGCCAUCAGCCACCUGCCUACCACCUACUCCAAGACUGAGGCACUUUCUGAAAUGAUGCCAAGCCUCCGGGUACCUAGUGGUGGUUCCAAAAAUCGCAUAAAGGUGCUGAACACACAAAUGUCGAAGGCACUUAAGUAAAAUUAGGUAUAAAGAAACGCCUUCGACGUCAAGUUGUGGGACAAGCCUUGGCAGCUGGGACAACCUGAAUGGCAGAUGGCCCUCUGGGGAGAAUCCAGGGAAGGCGCUCUGAGCUGGGAGGACAAAACCAGGAAUACGGGCGAAAGUUCAAGGUGUGGGGGGGUACCUUAAAAGCGCAUGGAAAAUUUGCUGGAACCCGAGCAUCAGAGAAGGACGCUGCUCCAGGGAGACCAGCAGCUGGAUCAAUGAGACUUGAGUUCUAACCCCAGCUCCUCCUGCCACCAAAGGCUUGAGGCCCUUGCCCACAGCACCCUCGCUGUAAAAGAUCGGGGCCAUGGCAUUCCAGGGUGCCCUCUGGUUCAAACAGGAGCUCUCAUAGUCAAAAGAAACCAAGGAGCAGAAAGAGAGAAAGGACAAAGAUGGUGAUGAAGGUGUGCGCCAAAGGCUCCAGGGAACAGAAGCACCUUGUCAACGGAGAACACCACUCUGGUCGGGGGGGGGACAUCCCUCGUGGUCCAGUGGCCAAGACUCUGUGCUCCAAUGCAGGGGGUGCAGGUUCAACCCCUGGUCAGGGAACUAAGAUCCCUCAUGCCACAUGGGACAGCCAAAAACAGCAGCAGCAAGCAAGAACGCUCUGGUCACGCCAGGGCCACCGCGGCCCUCCCCGGGAGCACAGCCUGAGGCUCACAGGGUGCAGUGAAGUGUCAUAAGUCACUAACGGCCCGGCCGUCUGACACACAGAUGGCAGGGGAAAGACAACGGAGACUUGCCAAGCGCAACUUAAAAGCUUUCAGCUCCAGAACUUCCAGCGAGAGAAAGGAUGGCAAACACCACUGCCCACGGGGGCCCACGGGGGCCCUGGGCGCUGGUAGGCGCGGGAUCGUUACCCGUGAGCACGGCAAGCCGCCGCAAUGCCUGGGAAGCUUGUAAACCGGGGCCUGCACNCAUCUGAAGAGAGCAGCUGCUGUCUCACUGGAGUAGGCUGUCGCCACGUGGGAAUGUGGACCCGACACUGCCAGAUCUUUUCGUUUUUCGAGAAGAGCCAAAGCUCCAGAUUUUUAUGUAAAACCUCUAGAUUUCUAACAGGGAUCAAACGAAACAGCAGGAAGCCGUUUUCCGCCCGUGGGCCUGCUGUUUAGGGGCGCCCUGA
ensembl:lncRNA